UAACUGUUAGGUGAGGUCUUCAUGACUUACAGACCAAGUACCACUGCAAUUUGCUUGAGAAGCAUUGUACAAGAGUUGUACACUCAUCCAUUUAUAUGUCACCAAUAACUGUUAGGUGAGGCGGCAUGUAAAUCGGUGAGACCGCAGUACCCACUAGAAAUUCUAGUCGCGUAGGAUUUUCGUUUCUCCAUCAGGGGAGUAUGAGGGAUUCGAGAAAAUAGUGGG
rnacentral:lncRNA from 1 species